GACGAACGCUGGCGGCGUGCUUAACACAUGCAAGUCGAACGGAAAGGCCCUGCUUUUGUGGGGUGCUCGAGUGGCGAACGGGUGAGUAACACGUGAGUAACCUGCCCUUGACUUUGGGAUAACUUCAGGAAACUGGGGCUAAUACCGGAUAGGAGCUCCUGCUGCAUGGUGGGGGUUGGAAAGUUUCGGCGGUUGGGGAUGGACUCGCGGCUUAUCAGCUUGUUGGUGGGGUAGUGGCUUACCAAGGCUUUGGCGGGUAGCCGGCCUGAGAGGGUGACCGGCCACAAUGGGACUGAGAUACGGACCAGACUCCUACGGGAGGCAGCAGUGGGGAAUAUUGCACAGUGGGCGGAAGCCUGAUGCAGCAACGCCGCGUGCGGGAUGACGGCCUUCGGGUUGUAAACCGCUUUCGCCUGUGACGAAGCGUGAGUGACGGUAAUGGGUAAAGAAGCACCGGCUAACUACGUG
rnacentral:rRNA from 1 species